UACGUAGGGUGCAAGCGUUGUCCGGAAUUAUUGGGCGUAAAGAGCUCGUAGGCGGCCUGUCGCGUCGGCUGUGAAAACCCGGGGCUCAACCCCGGGCCUGCAGUCGAUACGGGCAGGCUAGAGUCCGGUAGGGGAGACUGGAAUUCCUGGUGUAGCGGUGAAAUGCGCAGAUAUCAGGAGGAACACCGGUGGCGAAGGCGGGUCUCUGGGCCGGAACUGACGCUAAGGAGCGAAAGCGUGGAGAGCGAACAGG
rnacentral:rRNA from 1 species